AUGCGUCCUGACAGCCCCAAGGAUGGGCCCCUGGCAGCCCCGCCGGCCUGGCCCGAGCCCCAGGCUGGCCCUCGUGGGCACCCGCGUUCCAGAACGUCCUGUGAGUGCUCCCCACGGCCCAGCCUCUUCAUGUUCUUCCAGCGCCUGAGGCUCGGACACACCUGGGAGCAGCGUGGCCCAUUCACUAAGCGCUUUGGCGAAGGUCACCAUCAGCCAGGGACAGAAUCUGUGCGGUACCUCUCAUGGGCUUCCCAAGUGCUGCUUUGGUGCCAGCUUCCCUGUUGAGUGCGGAGGACCCCGACAGAAAUAACGGCAAUGGCCUCUUCGACUCACGUGCUGCAGGCCUUGCAGCCAUGGAGAGGAGCACCUCCUCAUCACCUCUGGCCCUCACCACUGCCUGGGAUCUCCUCACUCUACCUGACACAGCCUGGUGAGGCCUGGGAAGCCUGGGCUCAAACAGCUGUUGGGGCCCCCACCUGGGAUUCGAACCCGGGUCUAUG
rnacentral:lncRNA from 1 species